GUCAGGCAAAUGCCAUAAAUGACCAUCGGAUUGCUACAACGCCAUUAUUUAUCUCCAUUUCAGAUGAGGAUCAGAAUCAGUUGAGCUUGAAGGGUGGAACUCGAACUUUAUUCGCUUGCAAGAGGUGAAUGGAAUUGAAUCUCUCCCCCUCGUCAUUAGAACCCAAGGAGCACUCCGUAGGACUCUGAGCCAAAGGGUAAGAUUAUUAGCUUCAUCAAAA